AGUAUGUUAAUAUUUCUCAUACUUCAAUUAUUUUUACCAUUUUGAGAGUUUGAGGACUCAUUUUAUCACUUGAAGACUCGUGUGGUAACUAAUAAAAUUUACCAUUUUAAGAACUCAUGUUAUUAUUUUGAGGACUAAUAUUACUAUUUUGAGGACUCAUUUUACCUCUUUAAGACAAUUGUAUGCAUGUCAUACGUUAACACAUUGUAGAAUUUUCCUUAACGAAAAAUAUGAAAAGGAUAUGAUUUUUCUUUUACUGCAAGUGAUUUUGCACUCAUCUCUUUACUGCUCAUUCCUGUUUUUGUUUAGCUUUUUUAGGCUUUGAUUAAUCAAAGUUGGCCAAAUUACAAAUUUUCCUUCUUCCAUAUUCCAGACCCCUGCCACCCCGUUUAUAUGAUAUGAUGAUUGAGAUAUAUGUUGAGUUCAGGACCUGGAAAAGGGAAAGAAGCAGAGAAGCGAAGGGGAAAAGGGUUUUGUGAUGAAGCUGAAGUUGUUCAGGAAAACAGAAUGCACCAAGAGUACAUUAGUUAACCAAGGGUCGGUCAACCAAGCUCUCAGUGUCGGUUACUAGGGCAGCGUGGGUCGAACCCCGAACGAACGCCAACCAGCACCAUGUCCGACGUUAGUUUCUCUGUCCAUACAACCAAAGGUGAAAAGUGAGGGUUUUGCAGAUUAGAGGGGAUUGGAUUGGUGAUAUUAUUUUGAUUUGAUAGCCAAAGAUGGUUUCAUUUAUCUGCAUUUGCACCUGCACCUCUUCGGUCCUAGCUAGAGUGGUUUCUGCCAAGUAUCAUUACUUGAAUGCAGAAGAUCAAUAGGUGCAGGUUUAAGUGCAGACGAAUGCCUUCUUGGUUCGUUCUUUCUUUCUUAGCUACCUAGCUCGGAAGCUCGCCACUAAUUAGGUUUAUAUAUAUACACCUUCGUGCUGUACUUUAUUGUAUGAUUCUGGGGCCAGUUGAUAAUAAUGCAUUAUUGACUUCCUGAUGUUGCAUAUGAAACCUCAAAUAUGACAUAAAACACUAUAGCAUUUUUGUUC